UCCAGCUGCAGGUUAAAUCUCAGUCCAGCUGUUUGGUUAAAAUCUCAGUCCAGCUGUAGGUUCAAUCUCAGUCCAGCUGUGGGUUAAAUCUCAGCCCAGCUGCAGGUUGAAUAUCAGUCCAGCUGUGGGUUAAAUUUCAGUCCAGCUGUGGGUUGAAUUUCAGUCCAGUUGUAGGUUGGAUCUCAGUCCAGCUGUGGGUUGAAUUUCAGUCCAGCUGUAGGUUGAAUCUCAGUCCAGCUGUGGGUUGAAUUUCAGUCCAGCUGUAGGUUGAAUCUCAGUCCAGCUGCAGGUUGAAUCUCAGUCCAGCUGUGGGUUAAAUCUCAGUCAGUCCAGCUAUAGGUUGAAUCUCAGUCCAGCUGACGGUUG